rnacentral:rRNA from 1 species
UACGGAGGGGGCUAGCGUUGCUCGGAAUCACUGGGCGUAAAGCGCACGUAGGCGGGUCUUUAAGUCAGGGGUGAAAUCCUGGAGCUCAACUCCAGAACUGCCUUUGAUACUGAGGAUCUCGAGUCCGGGAGAGGUGAGUGGAACUCCGAGUGUAGAGGUGAAAUUCGUAGAUAUUCGGAAGAACACCAGUGGCGAAGGCGGCUCACUGGCCCGGUACUGACGCUGAGGUGCGAAAGCGUGGGGAGCGAACAGG